UGGGGAAUAUUGGACAAUGGGCGAAAGCCUGAUCCAGCAAUGCCGCGUGAGUGAUGAAGGCCUUAGGGUUGUAAAGUUCUUUUACCAGGGAUGAUAAUGACAGUACCUGGAGAAUAAGCUCCGGCUAACUCCGUGCCAGCAGCCGCGGUAAUACGGAGGGAGCUAGCGUUGUUCGGAAUUACUGGGCGUAAAGCGUACGUAGGCGGUGACUCAAGUCAGAGGUGAAAGCCUGGAGCUCAACUCCAGAACUGCCUUUGAAACUAGGUCGCUAGAAUCACGGAGAGGUGAGUGGAAUUCCGAGUGUAGAGGUGAAAUUCGUAGAUAUUCGGAAGAACACCAGUGGCGAAGGCGGCUCACUGGACGUGUAUUGACGCUGAGGUACGAAAGCGUGGGGAGCAAACAGGAUUAGAUACCCCCGUAGUCCCUGAGCGGGCUGGCAAGGCGCAU
rnacentral:rRNA from 1 species